GAGCUGAAACAACGAAUCGAUUUAAUCGAUUAAAAUCGAUUAUUAAAAUAGUUGUCAACUAAUUUAGUAAUCGAUUCGUCGCUAAAUAAAUUUUAUUUGCCAUAAGCGGCUCAUUUCGUGCAUAUUUCAAAUCUGCGGUGACCAAAGUGUGGCAGUAAUGAGCCACCGGAGGUUUUACUCAGCCAGUACAGCAGGUGAAGUAGCGAAUAGCCAAUAGCUGGCCUCGUUUUAUGUCACGUGCUUCCCGAACAGCGUCUCUGCAGCAUUCAGCGGGAAGUGGGGUCGUAGCACUUGCUGAAAGCACUCGGCUUUCUGUUUCAUCUGGGAUGAUGUGCUCUCUCCUCUCUCCGUGAAGACAUUCCUGACGGCCGAGUGGCGGCAUAUCUCAGCGAAUACUGGUCUCCUUCACCUCCCAGCCUGACCUGCGUGUGUCCUCCCAGAUCAACAGUCAAUUACAGUCUCUCUCCUGCGCUCGCUCUCUCACUUUUUCCCUCAGAGAAGAAAGGAAGGUUUUGGGCCGGCCGCGGUGCCACUGCCUGGCUAAUUAGAACCAGGAAGGGACUCAGUCUGAAACCUGGGCGUAAACUUUUACGAGCACCCCUGGGGUCACCAGUAAACCCGUUAAUAGAGAUGAGAUAUGAGGGCUCCCAAUGGCCUCCCAUUUUGUUUCUUUUUCAGUUUUUUUGUGUUUUUUUGUAUUCUUAAGUAGGGUCAAGUGCUCGGGUUCCAGCUCAGGGUUUCUUAGAGGAGCAACACCAAACAAAAACAACUUAAGUGUAACACGGUCAUGGUACAAGAGACUGUUAUUUUGCUGAGGCAUUUAAAGUAUUUAAUUUUAAUCAAAUAAAUGUGACUUAUUCA